GUUCCACAGCUUCUCUGAGCUGUUUAGCGUUUAUUACUGACCGCCCACUCGCAAUGGCGAAUUUGGAUUCCUCGACUGGGUAAUAAAAGACGAAGCUCCGUACCAAUCUGCGAGCCAUUUUCCUGUCUUCAGAUCCAACAAUAAAGCAUGGAACUUUUACUCACUGGGAGGAAGACGUUAUUCAUGAGCUGCUUUUUCUUCGUUACCUUCACUCGUCCGAGCACUGGUUCUUUAACCGUAAAAGUAAGAAAUAUGGUAAGUCAAUCGGAGCCAGUUGUGCUACUGUGGGGAAGCCAUCAACCUUCAAGUUUAAAGGAUCGUGUUUGCUGGAAGUCUACGUAUUUUGGCUCAGCGGACCGUGGCGGAGUCCGAGUUACAGUCCAC